AAGGAGGGCUGGGAUUCACACUUUGCAUGUGUGUCUGCCUAGGCUUGGGCUGUUUUCUGGGAUGGACUACCUGAAAUUCAUCACGUCCACAUCCAUAUGUGUGAAAGUGCAUGAGGAGGACAUGGAAUGAUGCCACAAUAAACAGUUGCUAUCAAGGCUAAAAACAAAGAAGCUUUGGACAAAUUUGAACUCAAAAGAAUCCAGUACUUCAAACAUAAAAAGAAUCAUAUAACCUGAUAGUGAGGAUUUCUGGACCUAGAUAAGUAGGACUGGAAAGAAAGAGGCCUGGACAAACAAAAAGGAAAAAAAAAAAAAAAAAAAAAGAGUGUGGGCAAUGGGAAAAUCUGACCUGGAAGGAGGUCAGGACCAAAAAAAAAAAAAAAAAUAGAGAUAUGGGCCUAGGCCUAUCCCUGCUCUAGAAGAACCCCAGGCCAAAAACAAAAAGUGAUGUCGACCUGGGCAAAUCCCUGACAUUUGAAGAGACCUGGCAUAAAGUAAUAAGUAACUUUGAGAGGCCCAGGCCCAAAGCAAGAAUUGAUGAGGGCCUGGACCUAUCCCUCACUCAUGAAGAGGCCCAGGCCAAAAUCAAGGAGUGAUGUGGGUCUUGGCUUAUCCCAGACAGUUAAAGAGGGCCGGGCCGAAAAAUAAAAAAAUGAUGUGGGCCUGGACCUAACCCUGACCCUUGAAGAGACCGGGGCAAAAAAAAAGCAAAAUGUGAUGUGGGCCUGGGCCUAUCCCUGCAAUUUAAAGAGGCCUGGGCACAAUGCAAGAUAUGAAGAGGGUCUGGGCCUAUGCCUGACCUUUGAAGAGGCCCGGAAAAAAACAAAAAAACCCAAAAAAACGAGGGCCUGGGCCAAAAAAAAGAAAUGAUGUGGGACUGGGCCUAUCCCUGAAAUUUGAAGAGGCUGGGCUUAAAGAAAGAAGUGAUGUGGGCCUGGGGCUAUCCCUGUAAUUUAAAGAGGACUGGGCCUAAGACAAGAAGUGAAGAGGGUCUGGGCCUAUGUCUGACCCUAGAAGAGCCUUGGGACAAAAGGAAGAAGUGAUGUGGGCAUUGGCUUAUCCCCACCCACCCCCCCAAACCAUGAAGAGGCCUAUCCCCGACAUAAGAAGAGGCCCGGGCCACAAGAAAGAAGUUAAAGUGCCUGGUUCUAUCCCUGAAGUUUGAAGAGGCCCGGGCCUAAAGAAAGAAGUUUUAUGUUCCUGGGCCUAUUCCUGAACAUUAAAGAGGCCCAGGCCAAAGUAAAUAAGAGAAGAGGCCCGGGCCAAAAUGAAGAAGUGACGUGGGCCUGGGCCUAACCCUGACCCUUGAAGAAGCCCAGGCCAAAAGGAAGAAGUGAUGUGGACCUGGGCCUAACCCUGACACUUGAAGAGGCCCAGGCCUAAAGCAAGAAGUGAUGUGGGCCUGGGCCUAUACCUGAAGUUUACUUUUCCCUCUCCC
rnacentral:lncRNA from 1 species